CCUACGGGCGGCAGCAGUAGGGAAUAUUGCUCAAUGGGGGCAACCCUGAAGCAGCAACGCCGCGUGGAGGAUGAAGGUUUUAGGAUUUUUAACUCCUUUUUUUAGAGAAGUUUAUGACGGUAUCUAACGAAUAAGCACCGGCUAACGCCGUGCCAGCAGCCGCGGUAAUACGGAGGGUGCAAGCGUUACUCAGAUUCUGUGGGCGUAAAGAGUGCGUAGGGGGGGUAAUAAGUCAGAUGUGAAAUCCUGUAGCUUAACUACAGAACUGCAUUUGAAACUGUUACUCUGGAGUGUGGGAGAGGUAGGCGGAAUGCUUGGUGUAGGGGUAAAAUCCGUAGAGAUCAAGAGGAAUACUCAUUGCGAAGGCGACCUGCUAGAACAUUACUGACGCUGAUGCACGAAAGCGUGGGGAGCAAACAGGAUUAGAUACCCUAGUAGUC
rnacentral:rRNA from 1 species